ACAGCAAUAAAUCUUUAGAAAAUUUUUAAUACGCAUUUAAGUCUAAACACACGAUAUCAAUUUGAGCCAAUUCUACUGUUUAAAUAGUGAUAAAAGCAUAGUCAUCACGUGAUGUCAAUGAUAUAUAAAGAAUACGCCAGACACUUUUAUUGAUGGCUUUCGUGUGUUGGAAUGCAAUGCCGGUCUCAUUGAUUAGAAUUGAUUAGCAGGAUAUGAAAGUAAACAAUUUACAUUUAUGCAGUGAAUCUCAAAUUUAAAUAUGAACAAGAAGAAGAUAUUUUGGAAAUCAUUUAAGAAAAAAACUUUGCAAUAACUCCUAAUGCGGAAAUGUUCAGUCCCGGUAAAAAGGAAGGCACCAUAACCAAAAUGACGGUAGAGCUUUGCAGUUUCUCCAAUUUCCCAUACCAAAUACAUCAUUAUUAUGCAUUAAGAGAAAUUAUAAAUCGAAAACUUCUGCCCACACUGAAAUACGCCAUGAGAUAAUAGCACUGUUCGUUGAGAAAUUUCAGUAUGAAUUACAAUAUAUGUAUAGUAACGAAAUGUCAAAAA